AGUGGAUGGGGAGCAACCUAGUUGUGCGUGUGUAAGGGUAGUGCCAAGAAAAGCGAUGAUCAUGUUGAAAAUCAAUUCCCGGUACCCGAAACCGACACAGGUGGGCAAGUAGAGAAUACUAAGGGGCGCGAGGUAACUCUCUCCAAGGAACUCGGCAAAAUGACCCCGUAACUUAGGGAGAAGGGGUGCCACCGAGAGGUGGUCGCAGUGAAGAGGCCCAGGCGACUGUUUAGCAAAAACAUAGGUCUCUGCAAACUCGAAAGAGGAGGUAUAGGGGCUGACGCCUGCCCAGUGCCGGAAGGUUAAAGAAGUUGGUCAGUUUUAGGAUGAAGCUAGCGACUGAAGCCCCGGUGAACGGCGGCCGUAACUAUAACGGUCCUAAGGUAGCGAAAUUCCUUGUCGGGUAAGUUCCGACCCGCACGAAAGGCGUAACGAUCUGGGCGCUGUCUCGGAGAGAGGCUCGGCGAAAUAGGAUUGUCUGUGAAGAUACGGACUACCUGCAUUUGGACAGAAAGACCCUAUGAAGCUUUACUAUAGCUUGGAAUUGUGUUCGGGCUUCCUAUGCGCAGGAUAGGUGGGAGGCGUAGAAGGUAUUCUUGUGGGGAUACUGGAGCCAACGGUGGGAUACCACUCUCAGGAGGCUAGAAUUCUAACUUAAUUAAGGACAGUUUCAGGUGGGUAGUUUGACUGGGGCGGUCGCCUCCAAAAAGGUAACGGAGGCGUACAAAGGUUCCCUCAGACUGGUUGGAAAUCAGUCGAAGAGUGCAAAGGCAGAAGGGAGCUUGACUGCGAGAAGUACAGUUCGAGCAGGGUGGAAACACGGUCUUAGUGAUCCGACGGUGCUGUGUGGAAGGGCCGUCUCUCAACGGAUAAAAGUUACUCUAGGAUAACAGGCUGAUCUCCCCCAAGAGUUCACAUCGACGGGGAGGUUUGGCACCUCGAUGUCGGCUCGUCGCAACCUGGGGCGGAAGUACGUCCCAAGGGUUGGGCUGUUCGCCCAUUAAAGCGGUACGUGAGCUGGGUUCAGAACGUCGUGAGACAGUUCGGUCCAUAUCCGAUGUAGGCGUGAGAAUAUUGAGAGGAGCCUUCCUUAGUACGAGAGGGCCGGGAAGGACGCACCGCUGGUGUACCUGUUAUGAUGCCAAUUGUAAACGCAGGGUAGCCAAGUGCGGAGAGGAUAACCGCUGAAAGCAUCUAAGUGGGAAGCCCACCUCAAGAUGAGUAUUCUGGUGUAAGGUCACGGGAAGACGACCCGUAAAUAGGCACGAGGUGGAAGUGCAGAGAUGUAUGAAGCCGAAGUGUACUAAUAGACCGUCGGCUUGACCG
rnacentral:rRNA from 1 species